AGAGUUUGAUCCUGGCUCAGGAUGAACGCUAGCUACAGGCUUAACACAUGCAAGUCGAGGGGCAGCAGGGAGAUAGCUUGCUAUCUUUGCUGGCGACCGGCGCACGGGUGAGUAACGCGUAUCCAACCUACCCCGUACUCAGGGAUAGCCCGUUGAAAGACGGAUUAAUACCUGAUGUUCUCCUUUUUUGGCAUCAUUAUUGGAGCAAAGAUUGAUCGGUACGGGCUGGGGAUGCGUCUGAUUAGCUUGCCGGCAGGGUAACGGCCUACCGGGGCAACGAUCAGUAGGGGUUCUGAGAGGAAGGUCCCCCACAUUGGAACUGAGACACGGUCCAAACUCCUACGGGAGGCAGCAGUGAGGAAUAUUGGUCAAUGGAGGCAACUCUGAACCAGCCAAGUAGCGUGCAGGAUGACGGCCCUAUGGGUUGUAAACUGCUUUUAUGCGGGGAUAAAGGAGCCUACGUGUAGGCUUUUGCAGGUACCGCAUGAAUAAGGACCGGCUAAUUCCGUGCCAGCAGCCGCGGUAAUACGGAAGGUCCGGGCGUUAUCCGGAUUUAUUGGGUUUAAAGGGAGCGUAGGCGGUCUGUUAAGCGUGUUGUGAAAUGUAGGUGCUCAACAUCUGCACUGCAGCGCGAACUGGCGGACUUGAGUUGGCUGAAAGUAUGCGGAAUUCGUGGUGUAGCGGUGAAAUGCUUAGAUAUCACGAAGAACUCCGAUUGCGAAGGCAGCAUGCUGUAUCCUUACUGACGCUGAAGCUCGAAGGUGCGGGUAUCGAACAGGAUUAGAUACCCUGGUAGUCCGCACGGUAAACUAUGGAUGCCCCGCUGUUGGCGAUAUAGUGUCAGCGGCCAAGCGAAAGCGUUAAGCAUCCCACCUGGGGAGUACGCCGGCAACGGUGAAACUCAAAGGAAUUGACGGGGGCCCGCACAAGCGGAGGAACAUGUGGUUUAAUUCGAUGAUACGCGAGGAACCUUACCCGGGCUUGAACUGCACAGGACUGAUACAGAGAUGUUGAUUCCCUUCGGGGCCUGUGCGGAGGUGCUGCAUGGUUGUCGUCAGCUCGUGCCGUGAGGUGUCGGCUUAAGUGCCAUAACGAGCGCAACCCCUUUCGUCAGUUGCCAUCAGGUUCUGCUGGGCACUCUGGCGACACUGCCACCGUAAGGUGCGAGGAAGGUGGGGAUGACGUCAAAUCAGCACGGCCCUUACGUCCGGGGCUACACACGUGUUACAAUGGCAGGUACAGAGGGCCGGCGCCUGGCAACAUGCGUCCAAUCCUUAAAGCCUGCCUCAGUUCGGAUUGGGGUCUGCAACCCGACCCCAUGAAGCUGGAUUCGCUAGUAAUCGCGCAUCAGCCAUGGCGCGGUGAAUACGUUCCCGGGCCUUGCACUCAAGGCCCGUCA
rnacentral:rRNA from 1 species